GGGGAAUAUUGCGCAAUGGGGAAACCCUGACGCCGCAAUACCGGCGGAGGGAAAGAGGGUUUUGGAACGGUAAGGUACUGUAUUUGGGGAAGAAAAAAAGAGGUACCCAAGGAGAAAAUCCCGGGCAACUUCGGUGCCAGCAGCCGCGGUAAUACGUAGGGGACAAGCGUUGUCCGGAUUUACUGGGCGUAAAGGGCACGCAGGCGGUUUUUUAAGUCAGAUGUGAAAGGUACCGGCUCAACCGGUAACAUGCAUUUGAAACUGAAAGACUUGAGUAUUGGAGAGGCAAGUGGAAUUCCUAGUGUAGCGGUGAAAUGCGUAGAUAUUAGGAGGAACACCGGUGGCGAAGGCGGCUUGCUGGACAAAUACUGACGCUGAGGUGCGAAAGCGUGGGGAGCAAACA
rnacentral:rRNA from 1 species